AUGUUGAGCUUAAUGAUGGCUCUGAUUGAACGCUGAGCAAAUGCUUGACACAUGCUAAUCGUACGACAAACAUUUAUUAUUAGUAAUAGUUUGUAGUGGUGUACAGGUGAGUAAAUGGUAUUAGUGCUACCUUUAAGUAAGGGAUAAAAUAUCUUAUAAUAAUUGUCUAUUAAUUGAAAGAAGUAUUAUACUUCGCUUUUAGAUGCCUUUUACCUCGGGAAAGUAGUAGUUAGAGUAAUUAUCUAACCAGCGUGAGCCCGUAAUCGAAACUGAGAGGUUGAUCGAUCACAUUGGGUAUGAGAAACCCCCAAUACGUACAGUACAGCAGUGAGGAAUAUUGGUCAAUAGCCUAACGGCUGAACCAGCAAUUUGCGAGAACGAAAAAAGAGGUCUAACCUCAUAAAGUUCUAAAUAGUUAAUUGAUUAUGACAGUUUCUAUUAAAAGGUCUUGACAAAAACACGUGCCAGCAGUCGCGGUAAGACGGGAAAGACUAGUGUUAAUCAUCUUUAAUGGGUUUAAAGGGUACCUAGACGGCCAAUAUAGUCUAUUAAGGUACGUAUUGUGCUAGAGUUUUAUAUAAAAGGAUAUAAAGUAUUAACGAAGUAGAGAUAGAAUUUGUUAAUAUCGUUAAGAACGGGUAACGGCGAAGGCAAUCCUUUAGGUAAAAACUGACGUUGAGGGACGAAGGCUUGGGUAACGAAUAGGAUUAGAUACCCUAAUAGUCCAAGCAGACAACGCUGAGUGUCAUAGGUUAGGAAAAUCUUUGAUCUAUAAAUGAAAGUGUAAGCACUCCACCUCAAGAGUAAUGUGGCAACGCAGAAACUGAAAUCAUUAGACCGUUUCUGAGACCAGUAGUGAAGUAUGUUAUUUAAUUUGAUAACACGCAAAAAACCUUACCACAGCUUGAACACAAAGGCGUAACUAGCCUAUCACAGGUGCUGCAUGGCUGUCUUCAGUUAAUGUCGUGAGACAUAGGUUAGCUCCAUAAAAUUAACGAAAACCCUUACUUUAUUUAUUUUUAUAAAGUAGUUCUCCAAUAUAUUGGAAUGAUAAAAGGGAUCAAGACAAGUAAUCACGGCCCUAAUGCUGUGGGCUAUAGACGUGCCACCUUCGCCUAGACAAAGGGAUGCUUAUACGUGAGUAUUAAAACUAAUCCCACAAAAUAGGCUAAAACAUGGAUUGCAGCCUGAAACUCGGCUGCAUGAAAACGAAAUUACUAGUAAUCGUGAAUCACCACCGUCACGGUGAAUUUUAUCUCAGAAAGGUACUAACCACUCGUCAAACGCUGAAAAAAGUACAUGCAAUAAGUUUGGUUGCUGCUAAUUUGUAAAAGAGAAGAGAUCUCCACAUUUUGGUAAAUGAUCUUCGAAUGCAUGACUUUGAUUAGUGUUAAGUCGAAAUAAGGUUCGUGUAGUGGAAAUUGCACGGGAAUUAUGAAACAUUAAAAAUAAAAAAAAAA
rnacentral:rRNA from 1 species